GGUGAACGCUGGCGGCGUGCCUAAGACAUGCAAGUCGAGUGGGUUUAGACCCACGGCGAACGGGUGAGUAAUACCUAGGAACUUUCUUUAAGUGGAGCAUAACCAGUCGAAAGAUUGGAUAAUACUUCAUGUGUCCGUAAGGAUAAAGUCGCAAGACGCUUAAAGUGAGGCCUGGGCACCAUCAGCUAGUUGGUAAGGUAAUGGCUUACCAAGGCUAUGACGGUUAGGGGUCCCGAGAGGGAUAACCCCCACACUGGAACUGCGACACGGUCCAG
rnacentral:rRNA from 1 species